rnacentral:rRNA from 1 species
GUGAACUCUGGCGGUAGGCCUAACACAUGCAAGUCGAACGGCAGCACAGUAAGAGCUUGCUCUUACGGGUGGCGAGUGGCGGACGGGUGAGGAAUACAUCGGAAUCUACUUUUUCGUGGGGGAUAACGUAGGGAAACUUACGCUAAUACCGCAUACGACCUACGGGUGAAAGCAGGGGAUCUUCGGACCUUGCGCGAUUGAAUGAGCCGAUGUCGGAUUAGCUAGUUGGCGGGGUAAAGGCCCACCAAGGCGACGAUCCGUAGCUGGUCUGAGAGGAUGAUCAGCCACACUGGAACUGAGACACGGUCCAGACUCCUACGGGAGGCAGCAGUGGGGAAUAUUGGACAAUGGGCGCAAGCCUGAUCCAGCCAUACCGCGUGGGUGAAGAAGGCCUUCGGGUUGUAAAGCCCUUUUGUUGGGAAAGAAAAGCAGCAGGUUAAUACCCCGCUGUUCUGACGGUACCCAAAGAAUAAGCACCGGCUAACUUCGUG